rnacentral:lncRNA from 1 species
CAGGGAGUUAGGAUGGUGAGGCAUCAGGAUAUUAUGUCAGUUGAAGAAUGGUUUAAAACACUGAGAAAUUGACCUUGGAGAAGAAAAAAACAUUAGAGGAUGUGAUAAAAUCUUUCGUGGAAGACCAGUUAGAUUUAUUCUUUGUGUCUUUAGAAGGCUUCACAACAGAUGGAAGUUACAGAAGAAGACCAAUUUGGGAUUGAUAGCAGGAAAACCUCUUUCUAAAUACAGGCAUCUGCACAUAAAAAGAUAGCCCACCCUACAGGUACAAAUACAGUCAGUUCAGAGUUGACACUCACUUUCAAGGAUGUUUUGUCCUGGCUGAUUCCGAUGGCGUGUGAAUUGCUGGUCUGGAUCCCGGGUUUCUUACUUCCUGGUCACAAAAUGGCUGCCGAAGUCCAUAAGCUAAAUCCUAAUGUGAGUGAACAUGAUCAAGAAGUUCACAAUUUUAAGGAUUCAUGACUACAACCCCAAAAUACGGCACUUCUGCCUGUGUGGAAACAACAGAAGCAGGAAGAUUACUCUCAUUUUUCUCUGGCCUUUUUCCCUUGAAGCAGACUAUAAAGAAGAAUCUGACCUUCCUCUGAAGGAAACCUUCAUUCCAGACAUACCCUCCCUAUAUCCAAAGAACAUCUUUAUCUUUAAAGACACAGAGAUGUCAAGAAGAAUCUGAACAAACAGGCUUUGCCAGAUCCCCCAGUUUACUAAUAUUGAACCAUACUCUUUUGUUCUUCAAUCAUACUUCUGCAUGAUGUCCAUAAAAAUACACAGUUUUCCCCAUUCCUUUUGGGUAUUUAUUCCCGAAAGCUUCUGUGUCAUGUAAAACUUACAUUAAAUAAAUUUGUAUGCUUUUCCUUG